UGUUCUUGAUGAACAAAAAA
rnacentral:snRNA from 1 species